CAGUAGCCACGGGAAUACGAAGGGGGCUAGCGUUGUUCGGAUUUACUGGGCGUAAAGCGCACGUAGGCGGACUUUUAAGUCAGGGGUGAAAUCCCGGGGCUCAACCCCGGAACUGCCUUUGAUACUGGAAGUCUUGAGUAUGGUAGAGGUGAGUGGAAUUCCGAGUGUAGAGGUGAAAUCCGUAGAUAUUCGGAGGAACACCAGUGGCGAAGGCGGCUCACUGGACCAUUACUGACGCUGAUGCACGAAAGCUAGGGGAGCAAACAGGAUUAGAUACCCCCGUAGUCCCUGUCUCUUAUAC
rnacentral:rRNA from 1 species